rnacentral:tRNA from 1 species
GGUUCUAUAGUGUAGUGGUUAGCACUCUGGACUUUGAAUCCAGUGACUCGGGUUCGAAUCCCGAUAGAACCU